rnacentral:rRNA from 1 species
UUAAAGCGGAGGAAAAGAAACUAACAAGGAUUCCCUUAGUAACGGCGAGUGAACAGGGAAAAGCCCAGCACCGAAGCCUGUGGUCAUUUGAUCACUAGGCAAUGUGGUGUUCAGGUCGUUCCGUUGAGGUGCUGCUCCACCCUAAGUCCAGCAAUGAGUACGGUGGUACGGACAUGGCCCACAGAGGGUGAAAGGCCCGUGGGGGUGGAGAUCAGGCAGGCCAGUGCCUCUCUGGGUAGACCUUGGAGUCGGGUUGUUUGUGAAUGCAGCCCAAAGUGGGUGGUAAACUCCAUCCAAGGCUAAAUACUUGCACGAGUCCGAUAGCGAACAAGUACCGUGAGGGAAAGUUGAAAAGUACUUUGAAGAGAGAGUAAACAGUGCGUGAAACCGCUCAGAGGUAAGCGGGUGGAGUUGAACUGCAAGCUUUGAGAAUUCAGCUGGUGAGUAUGGUUUGAGCUUGGUCAAGUUUGGCUGGAUAUUGAGGUCUGCGUAGUGGCAGGUUCUAGUCCCUCGGGGCAGGAUGCGCGAUACACUUAUCAAGUGUUGUGCGCCUCAGUAUUAUUCGGGCCUACUCGCCAGUGCACUUUCUCAGAGUGUUCACCACGACCGGCACUGCUGUCUGGCUGUAGUGGUUAAACCGGGCUUACAUCGUCCUUGUGGCUUUGCAUGUUCGGGAAGGCAGGUGGCACGUUGGCUUGCUUGUAGUUUACUGCAGGCAUUUGGUCUUCGUGUGUAAUCAGCUGACCACAACAGUUCUGUGCAGUGUGUCGGGGCUAGCGGCUUGUGGUACUUGCGUGCGUGCUUGUUCUGCUGGCGAGUCCGGGUUUGGUUAUCAUGUUGCCUGCAAGUGCAGGCCUGGGAAUGGCUCGGAUUCGUCCAGUGGGCGGUUGCGUACGUGGUGCUGUUAGAUGGCCAAGAGUCUGUGGUGUAGUGGUAGACUAUCCACCCGACCCGUCUUGAAACACGGGACCAAGGAGAGUA